rnacentral:rRNA from 1 species
CAGUGGGGAAUAUUGCACAAUGGGCGCAAGCCUGAUGCAGCCAUGCCGCGUGUGUGAAGAAGGCCUUCGGGUUGUAAAGCACUUUCAGUUGUGAGGAAGGUGGUGUCGUUAAUAGCGGCAUCAUUUGACGUUAGCAACAGAAGAAGCACCGGCUAACUCCGUGCCAGCAGCCGCGGUAAUACGGAGGGUGCGAGCGUUAAUCGGAAUUACUGGGCGUAAAGCGCAUGCAGGUGGUUUGUUAAGUCAGAUGUGAAAGCCCGGGGCUCAACCUCGGAACUGCAUUUGAAACUGGCAGACUAGAGUACUGUAGAGGGGGUAGAAUUUCAGGUGUAGCGGUGAAAUGCGUAGAGAUCUGAAGGAAUACCGGUGGCGAAGGCGGCCCCCUGGACAGAUACUGACACUCAGAUGCGAAAGCGUGGGGAGCAAACAGGAUUAGAUACCCUGUAG